GCCUGGGUGGCUCAGUCGGUUAAGUGUCUGACUUCGGCUUAGGUCAUGAUCUCACGGUUCACGGGUUCGAGCCCUGUGUCAGGCU
rnacentral:tRNA from 1 species